GGGGGCUUGUGUGUGCAGGAUCAGCGCGAGAAAAGUUUUCAUUCUACGCACUAAGAAACAUCAUAGAAGCAACGCCUUUUCACCAUACGUUAAUGUGGAAGAGUGAACAGCAAACAGUUAAUCUUACUGCAAUCAUGCCCUCAUUGACUACGGUGUUUAGUUCCGUGUUCCUACACCAGUACAACAACACUGCAGGCUACAUUGCCUUAUCUUUUCAACAAGGAAUAUGGAAAAAAAAACCUCUAUCAGGGCCAGGGUACUGAUUGUGUAUGAUCAGCCACGAUCACAGUGAAUGCUGGCUAGAAGGGCCGAAUGGCCUACUCCUGCACCUACUGUCUAUUGUCUAUUGAGUUAAACCCCUGCAAAGUCUGGAGGGUUUGGGCAAUGGCCACCCUCCAGUCAAAAAGUCAGUUCCUUUUAUUUCCUCAUGAUUUCUUCAAACAAAGAAACUCUGGGCUGUGGGAUCAGAAGAUUCAUCAUUACUUCAAAGGAAUCAUUGUUACGGGGAAGUAGCUCCUUAAUGACUGUAUAAAUCACAUGGACUUUUCAA